UGUGUCGACCUGCGCAAAAGAAAGACAAGGGAAAAACCCUUAAACCUUAAAAUUCAGCAAAACUGAAAGAGGAAUUGAAGAUAAAAUUGAUGCAUGAACACAAAUUCUUCACUAUCUAAGUGUUCUUAACAUAAGGUGUGAAAGAAGAAGGCCCGAGUAACAAGAAAGCACAAGGUGUUCAAGAUCGAGUUUUAAUUAUAGCAUUGUUUAUUGUUAUAUAUUGUGGUAAUCAAAGUCCGUUAGAGAAUGAUUAUGUAAUAGACCCAUUACAAACGGGUCGAACGAACUAGAAUUGUCAUGUAGAGAAUGAUCAUGUAAAAGACCCAUUACGAAUGGUCGAAUAAACUAGAAUAUCAUGUUAAAUAUGGACCCAUAGGAACGGGUCGAAUAAACUAGAAUGUUAUGUCAAAGAAUGACCAUGUAAUAGAGCCAAUACGAACAUGUCGAACGAA